CUGACUUCAACUGUAUAUGGCCAAUAUACCACGGCUAAGGGCUGUAUCCAGGAACUCCGCGUUGCGCCGUGCAGAAGAACAGCCCUUAGCCGUGGAAUAUUGGCCAUAUUCCACACCCGUCGUACCUUAUUGCUUAAACAUACCACGGCUUUUAGCCAAUCAGCAUUCAUGCCAGCUGCCAACUUAGCCUCGAGAGAUAGGAACAGCGCCUGUCGAGGCCACUGCCACAACUCUGUCCAGAAAAAGGAGGAGUAUAAUUACAGUAUAAUUUUCUUCUCCCAUGCUUGUGCCUAGCGUUUGUUAACUUCUGUCUUCAUGCAUCUGUUUCAGGACUUUCAUCAUGACUACAUGGAAGUUGAUGGAAAUAUUUAGGAGGCACAGGCACAGAUGCCAACUUGUUCCAGAUAGUAUUUGGGAAUUACAGGGACACUGGUACGCUGGCACUGAAGGAGGGCGGUAGCAGAUACAAGUUUGAGUGAAAGUCGAAAUAUGUGUUCCGCUUCCCAGACAUCCUCAUCUUGGGAGAGUAGUCCAAGAUCCGCGUGUGGCGCGACAACAAGGGUCCUGCCCCAUGUUGGCACCUGGAGUACAUCAAUGUGAUAGAUGAGACCAUGGUCCAGAAUUUCCGUUUCCCAUGUGACCCCUGGCUGGCCAAGCAUGUCGACGACAGGCGAUCAUGAGAGAGCUGGCCUGCGCCAACAACUACAUCCUGGACUUCAGUGACAAGACCAAUGAGUUAACCUCUGACCCUGAUGUAGGCUAGUGAUGACAUGACCAAAGAUGUUAUAUGAAUGAAAAUGUCCCACUGGGCACAGUUGUCAGUUCAAUGCCUCGUUUUGAUUUACAUUUGUUUGUCAACUAACGUGAAUUCAACAUGAAAUCCCUCCCAAAAUUCACCAUGUCAUUGGAUUUAGGUUAAAAGUUGGACAAAAAAAAGACAAAAUGCCCUAACAUGACUUUUUGCUAAUCCAAUUAGUUUUACAAGUUGAUUCAAUGUUGGGGUGAAGUGGUGUGGAAACAAUGUUGAAUCAACCAGUUUAUUCCCAUUGGGGUACCACUCAGACCGUUUACUAUUGAACAACAAUUGUCUGCUCCCCCCCCGCUCCUUGAAAACAGCAGCUCUACCCUUUAGCUCAGUCUGAAUGUUGCCUGUAAUCCAUGGUUUCUGGUUGCGGUAUGUACAUACAGUCAAUGUGGGGAC